UUGGCCCCUAAUUCCUACAUAUUUUGGGCAAUUAACCCAAAACUUAAUCCCAGCCUCCCCUUUGUUAUAUGGUACAAUUUCAGAGAGAUCCAUACAAAUACACAUAAGUUAUUGUCUUGAAACUAGAAAAAUGCUUGUUUUGACCCCUUUUUGGCCCUUAAUUCCUAAACUUUGGCCCCAUAACCCCUAAAAUGAAUCCAAACCUUCAACUUGUGGUUUUAAACAUUGCGGUAAGAUUUCAG
rnacentral:lncRNA from 1 species